rnacentral:rRNA from 1 species
UAGUCCACGCCGUAAACGAUGGAUACUAGCUGUCCGGGUCCUUGAGAUCUGGGCGGCCAAGCGAAAGUGAUAAGUAUCCCACCUGGGGAGUACGUUCGCAAGAAUGAAACUCAAAGGAAUUGACGGGGGCCCGCACAAGCGGUGGAGCAUGUGGUUUAAUUCGAUGAUACGCGAGGAACCUUACCAGGGCUUAAAUGCAUAUUGACAGGGGUAGAGAUACCUUUUCCUUCGGGCAAUUUGCAAGGUGCUGCAUGGUUGUCGUCAGCUCGUGCCGUGAGGUGUCAGGUUAAGUCCUAUAACGAGCGCAACCCCUGCCGUCAGUUGCCAGCAAGUAAAGUUGGGGACUCUGACGGGACUGCCGGUGCAAACCGCGAGGAAGGUGGGGACGACGUCAAAUCAUCACGGCCCUUACGUCCUGGGGCUACACACGUGCUACAAUGGCCGGGUACAGCGAGCAGCCACUCCGCAAGGAGGGAGCGAAUCUAU